GCAGGUUGCGAAAAGUCGGCGAUCAAAACCUGCUCAUCGCCUUCUAGCAGUCGGGGUCGUAGCAGCACUACAACGGCUGCGGAAGAUCUAAGAAACGAUGACGAAAAUAAAAACCAGCAACGGAGUCGUUACCCGUUCUGAAAUGAGGAAACAGCGUGAUCUCAUGCACGUCAUUAAAAAUACAUCUUCAUAUUUAUCUUCCAUUGCCGCUUCUCCUUUCGGGUCGCGAAGGCAGCCAUUUGAUGAAUCUUAAUAACGUUGUAGAUCGCAUGGUCAAGUACCGGCGACAUGUUUUAUAAAUGCCUGCCUUAUCAACUUUGGUUUCUAGGAUAUACGCCUACCAUGGUGAUAACGGGAAACGGAGGAUCAGGGUUCGACUCCGGAGAGGGAGCCUGAGAAACGGCUGCCACAUCCAAGGAAGGCAGC
rnacentral:ncRNA from 1 species